UAGAGUUUGAUCCUGGCUCAGAACGAACGUUGGCGGUGUGCCUAAUACAUGCAAGUCGAGCGAGAAAACCGGGGCAACUCGGUGAGUACAGCGGCGGAAGGGUGCGUAAUACAUGGUUAACGUACCCCCCAGAUCGGGAUAACCCUCCGAAAGGUGGGCUAAUACCGGGUAAUGGCAGCGGGUGGCAUCAUUUGCUGCUUAAAGUCGUAAGACGCUGGGGGAGCGGACCAUGGCCUAUCAGCUAGUUGGCGGGGUAACGGCCCACCAAGGCGAUGACGGGUAGCCGGACUGAGAGGUUGAAUGGCCACACGGGAACUGAGACACGGUCCCGACAUCUACGGAUGGCAGCAGUAGGGAAUCUUGCACAAUGGGCGAAAGCCUGAUGCAGCGACACCGCGUGGGGGAUGAAGGCCUUCGGGUUGUAAACCCCUUUCAUGAGGGAAGAAUACUGACCUAACCUCAGGAAGAAGCACCGGCUAACUCCGUGCCAGCCGCCGCGGUAAUUCA
rnacentral:rRNA from 1 species